UACCUCAGUAACGGCGAGUGAAGCGGUAACAGCUCAAAUUUGAAAUCUGGCCUCACGGUCCGAGUUGUAAUUUGUAGAGGAUGCUUCGAGCAUGGUCUGGCCUAAGUUCCUUGGAACAGGACGUCAUAGAGGGUGAGAAUCCCGUAUGCGGUCAGGUGCCUACGCUCAUGUGAAGCUCCUUCGACGAGUCGAGUUGUUUGGGAAUGCAGCUCAAAAUGGGUGGUAAAUUUCAUCUAAAGCUAAAUAUUGGCCAGAGACCGAUAGCGCACAAGUAGAGUGAUCGAAAGAUGAAAAGCACUUUGGAAAGAGAGUUAAACAGUACGUGAAAUUGUUGAAAGGGAAGCGCUUGCAACCAGACUUGCGCGCGGCCGAUCAUCCGGUGUUCUCACCGGUGCACUCGGCCGUGCUCAGGCCAGCAUCGGUUUUGGCGGCUGGAUAAAGGCCCUAGGAAUGUAGCUCCUCUCGGGGAGUGUUAUAGCCUAGGGUGCAAUGCAGCCUGCUGGGACCGAGGACCGCGCUUCGGCUAGGAUGCUGGCGUAAUGGUUGUAAGCGGCCCGUCUUGAAACACGGACCAAGGAGUCUAACAUCUAUGCGAGUGUUUGGGUGUCAAACCCAUACGCGUAAUGAAAGUGAACGGAGGUGAGAACCCUUAAGGGUGCAUCAUCGACCGAUCCUGAUGUCUUCGGAAGGAUUUGAGUAAGAGCAUAGCUGUUGGGACCCGAAAGAUGGUGAACUAUGCCUGAAUAGGGUGAAGCCAGAGGAAACUCUGGUGGAGGCUCGCAGCGGUUCUGACGUGCAAAUCGAUCGUCAAAUUUGGGUAUAGGGGCGAAAGACUAAUCGAACCAUCUAGUAGCUGGUUCCUGC
rnacentral:rRNA from 1 species